GGUGUGGUUUCAAAAAUUUUAGUUUUCACACUCCCUCACUCCCUCCUAAUUCACCCCGCCCAAUUUUCCUCUUCCUCAAAACCCCCAAAAUUCCCCACAUUCCUGAAACAAAUUCAACCCCACCAACUCACCAAGUUCAGUGUGAAUCCUUUCUGAGCCCUGGUUCUGAUCUAUACAGUAUCUCCACCACAACCACUACGAAUUCCAACUUCCACAAAACCCUAAUCAAUUUUGGUUACCAUCAAACCCUAACGAUUGUUUCGUUUCGUAGAUGGGACGCAAGGAGAAGCGCAUGAUUUUGAGUUCGUACCUGCAACGUGCUUAUAAAAUAUCUGAUGGGAUCGUGAAGAAGAGGAAUAAAAUCUCAAUCGAGUUCGUUGGCUUCUGAUUCAUGGAUAUUUGGGGUCGGAUUCAUUGGCUUCUGAUUCAUUGGGUGUAAGGAGAAGCGCAUGAUUUUGAGUUCGUUCCUUCUUCAUACAUGUGCUGCAGGAUGACAUGCUUUUUCAAGCAGAGCUAAAUUCUGUCCAGUUUCACUGCUGCUGAUCUUAAAGAUCUCACUGCUGCUGAUCUUAAAGAUCUUGUUGAGCAAUACAAGGACGUGUAUGUCGAAGCAAAGGGUGAAAAGUUUUCUACAGAUCCAAAGAAACAGCUUGAGUUGGCGGUGAAUGUGGUUUUUGAUUCGUGGGACAGCCCGAGGGCCAAUAAGUACAGGAGUAUUAACCAGAUAACUGGGUUAAAGGGGACCGUGGUUAACAUUCAAUGCAUGGUGUUUGGCAACAUGGGGGACACUUCAGGAACCGGUGUUCUUUUCACUAGGAACCCAAGCACGGGUGAAAACAAGCUUUAUGGGGAGUUUUUGAUCAAUGCUCAGGGAGAGGAUGUUGUUGCUGGGAUCAGAACAUCACAAUAUUUGGUGACCAUGGAGACUUGCAUGCCGGAUGCAUACAGAGAGCUUGUGGAGAACUAUGAGAUCUUAGAGAGACACUAUAAAGAUAUGAUGGAUAUCGAAUUCACAGUUCAAGAAAACAGACUUUGGAUGUUGCAAUGCCGGACAGGGACACGUACCGGCAAAGGUGCAGUGACAAUUGUAGUAGAAAUGGUGAAUGAAGGGUUAAUUGAUACUAAAACGGCAAUUAAGUGGGUCGAAACUCAACAUCUAGAUCAACUUCUUCAUCCACAGAAGCACUUAUAUAUGCAAGAGAAGAGGCCUCCCGUAGUGAUGUUGCAGCUAAAAAUUAAGUUGAUUCAAAUGCCAAGCCUGAAUCAGAUGAUAAUGACAGUCUGAUGACGUGCGUGAACUUUUAUAUUUGGUUUAAGGUUUUGGUCCUAAACAUAAGUACUUUCGUUACUUAUAACUGUUCCUAUACAGGAGGAUGCCAAGGAUUCAUCUGAGGCGAAAGUACCUUUGUUACUUAUUUUUGUAAGAGAAGAGGCCUCCCAUGGUGAUGAUGUAAAUGAAGAUUUGUGUAAUGAUUAGUGUUGAAAAUCAAAUCUAUAGAAAAUGGAUAAACAAAUGUUGGCAAGUCAACCAAAUGUUACUCAUUUUGUUACCUAUGUUUAUUCUGAAACUGAUGUUGUACGUGAUGAAUUUGAUACAGGUCAGUCCAACGUCAUUUUACUUGGCAAGGAGCUAAUCAACCCGCAUGCAGAUAAAACAUCACGCGACUUUGUUUUGUAAAGGAUAUUUGAUUGGCUAAGACAAAAGGGCUAGCUAAUGGCCAAACUGAAAACUGGAAGAGUUUUUCAAGGAAUGAGAAAAGGUUAUGUUGCAAGUGCUUCUAGGAGUGAUGUUUGUUGAGACAAAAAGUGUUGUUGCAAGUGCUGCUAGGAUUGAUGCAACUUUAUGUAUUUAGUAUUCAAAUUGACAACUUAUGUAUGGAUUUUGGUUUACUAUUGUUAAUAUUAUUAGUUUUGUUUUUUA